UGCCCCUCUGUUGUCCUUGUCAUUGGAACAUCAUUUGGCACUCCUGGGAAGGCUUACUGAGCUUUGCCACAAGCAGAGUCCACAGCUUCAUUCCUCAGGGAGAGCUGGAGCUACUGUGUAAGAGGAAGCAGAGAAAAGGUUUGCACGGUGGUGGCCGAAAUGGACUCAAGUCCUGGAUUCCGGUGUGGAUUCCCAUCUAAUCCGUUCCAUCUUCUACAAGAUGAGAAGCAUCAUCACCUCCCAGUGUGAGUCAAUCCAGCCCAACGUGAUGGAAGGCACAAAGGAGGAAGCUGGUCUUUUCUCCAUCUCGCGGGAAUUUCUAAAGUGUAUCCAGAAUUCAGGGGACCUGAAGUCCAGCUGACUUUGAGCUGGGGUUGUGAACAUACGGUGUGCUUCCAGAAAGGCAGUAGUAUCUUCUUAAUAGAAAGGUGUUUCCAUUGCCUGGACUUAAGAAGAGGAAAAGCGAGGCAAUGCAAGUAAGUUAGUCCUGAGCAGUCAGCCUCCUGGACCAGAGAGAACAGAACAAUAGCACAUAGACUGGAUGUUGGUGGGAUGCAGGAAAACAGGAAAGCACUACCAACCACGGAAAGAAAGCAGGGUGAGCUCUCCAAGCCCAGGGAGCAGAAUUUGCCAAAGCACUGCGGUAUCAAAGGACAAAAAGUAUUGAGGAGCAUUGUGGACUGUAUGUAGUCAGUGAGGCUAAGAAGCCAGACGGCUGAGCCCAUUUUGUUAAGCAUUAGGUAUCAAACUAAGGACUUGGAAAUUGAUGCCAUGGACAAACAUUUUUGAGGGGAGUUACACGAUCCAAUUCAUGUUUGAGAAAAUAGCUAUUAGUGGCAAGGGAGGAGAAAUGCAAAAGCAGUGGAAGUCAGGGGUUUAGUGCAACAGUUGAGGGCAGAUGUAGAGAAACGGAGACAAAGGAGGCAUUUGGGACACUUAAAACUUAGAGGGAAGGGUCUAAGAUGCUUGAGGUUUAAUUAAUAAUUAGUAUUAUUGAUAAUGGCAGCUGACAGACAGUGGGUCCCUACUCUCUGACACUAGAUUAGAGACCUCAUCAAUCUCCAGAAGCAGGUGUUAUUAUCACCGUGGUAAUUAUAAGAAACGAAAAUGUUUCAGUGGAUGAUAAUACCAUGAAUCCACGUCGAAUGUCUGAAGUUGCCAGUGUGGCACAGAAUGGAUCUUCACCAGUACGCCAUUAGAAAAGGGGAGAGGGAGGCUUUGGAGACGGAUGCGGACGGGUGCUGGGCACUUGGGACACAUCACAUUGUUGAUGAAACAGCUGCAAUCAUAGUAUAUGUGACACUGACUAGGAUAAAUCCUGAAUAGGAACAAAUACUACCGUGUGUUAAGCAAUGUUAAAGGAAAUGUCAGAGAUGUUAAAUGGAAAGAAGAAUACUGUAUGUAGCCAUAUUUGGUGUUGGUAUAAUUGGCCUAUCCGAAUUUCCUCUCAUGAUAAUUCUGACUUUCCAGCUGGCCCAGAUUUGUCAAGGACACACAGUUUAUUACCUUGAAAAUAGGAUUUCUGGUUCAACAUGGUUACAAGAUCCUGAACUCACCUCCUCCCAAGGACAUGAACCUACAACCACCUAAGGAAUAGUUUGCUCUAAAAAAGACCUAAACACUAGCUAAGUAGCCCCUACACGUGAGGCAAAGAAGAAAAAAACCCACAUGGAAGUAGGUAGGAGACCCUGAGACUACUUGGCUGUGGGAGCCACUAUCAGAAGGAAAUUCAGCAUCCACAGCUUUUUCCUGAGGAGCUCAGGGUUUUAAAUUGCCCAUCAAGCACCCCAACUCUUGAGACUAGCACCCAACUUUAAAAACCACUGGGGUUUGGGUACC